UCAACUUCAUUUACCAUAAGAACAGCAUACUUUCUGCUAUCAGUUUAAUAUCUGAUAUGGCCUCUAUCCAAAAACAAUAUAGUAAAUGGAUUUUUGGAAUUAAGAGUUGGAAUAGGAGCUUUCUCCUUCCACUCCGUGCAUUUACAUGGUAUUGCAGUACCUCCAGGAAUGGUACACCCACU